ensembl:lncRNA
GUUGUAUUCAUUACUCUAUUGGCACCAAAACAAAUAUUAUUAACAUGUGGGACAUUUGGUUUGUCACCAAACCUUUCAUUUAAAAAAAAAAAAAAAAACUCAAUUAUUUCUUGUUGGGUAUUAGAGUUGGGUUAGGGUUAAUGGGGUUAGGGUUAGGGCUUCUGUGGUUAUAGUUAUGGUUAUUGAUAUUAAUGUUAGGGCUUCUGUGGUUAUAGUUAUGGUUAUUGAUAUUAAUGUUAGGGCUUCUGUGGUUAUAGUUAUGGUUAUUGAUAUUAAUGUUAGGGCUACUGAGGUUAUAGUUAUGGUUAUUGAUAUUAAGGUUAGAGCUACUGAGGUUAUAGUUAUGGUUAUUGAUAUUAAUGUUAGGGCUACUGAGGUUAUAGUUAUGGUUAUUUAUAUUAAUGUUAGGGCUAUUGUGGUUAUAGUUAUGGUUAUUUAUAUUAAUGUUAGGGCUAUUGUGGUUAUAAUUAUGGUUAUUGAUAUUAAUGUUAGGGCUAUUGUGGUUAUAGAUAUGGUUAUUGAUAUUAAGGUUAGGGCUAUUGUGGUUAUAGUUAUGGUUGUUGAUAUUAAGGUUAGAGCUACUGAGGAUACAGUUAAGGUUACUGAGGUUUAGG